rnacentral:rRNA from 1 species
UCGGCUUAGAGUUUGAUCCUGGCUCAGGAUGAACGCUGGCGGCGUGCUUAACACAUGCAAGUCGAGCGAAGAAGCCUUCGGGUGGAUGAGCGGCGGACGGGUGAGUAACGCGUGGGUAACCUGCCUCAUACAGGGGGAUAACAGUUAGAAAUGACUGCUAAUACCGCAUAAGCGCACAGCUGCAUGGCCAGUGUGAAAAACUCCGGUGGUAUGAGAUGGACCCGCGUCUGAUUAGGUAGUUGGUAGGGUAACGGCCUACCAAGCCGACGAUCAGUAGCCGACCUGAGAGGGUGACCGGCCACAUUGGGACUGAGACACGGCCCAAACUCCUACGGGAGGCAGCAGUGGGGAAUAUUGGACAAUGGGGGAAACCCUGAUCCAGCGACGCCGCGUGACUGAAGAAGUAUUUCGGUAUGUAAAGGUCUAUCAGCAGGGAAGAAAAUGACGGUACCUGACUAAGAAGCCCCGGCUAACUACGUGCCAGCAGCCGCGGUAAUACGUAGGGGGCAAGCGUUAUCCGGAUUUACUGGGUGUAAAGGGAGCGUAGACGGCGAUGCAAGUCUGAAGUGAAAGCCCGGGGCUCAACCCCGGGACUGCUUUGGAAACUGUGUUGCUGGAGUGCAGGAGAGGUAAGUGGAAUUCCUAGUGUAGCGGUGAAUGCGUAGAUAUUAGGAGGAACACCAGUGGCGAGCGCUUACUGGACUGUAACUGACGUUGAGGCUCGAAGCGUGGGGAGCAAACAGGAUUAGAUACCCU